rnacentral:rRNA from 1 species
AGCAGCCGCGGUAAUUCCAGCUCCAAUAGCGUAUAUUAAAGUUGUUGCAGUUAAAAAGCUCGUAGUUGAAUUUCGGGAUUGACACAUCGGUCGUGCCUUAAGGGGUAUGAACUGGUGUAGUCAAUUUCUCGCCUUCUGGAGAACCGCGAUGCCCUUAAUUGGGUGUCGCGGGGAACCAGGACCUUUACUUUGAAAAAUUAGAGUGUUUAAAGCAGGCAUUUUGCUUGAAUACAUUAGCAUGGAGUAAUAAAAUAGGACGGCAUGAUUCUAUUUUGUUGGUUUCUAGGAUCACCGUAAUGAUUAAUAGGGAUAGUUGGGGGCAUUAGUAUUCAAUUGUCAGAGGUGAAAUCCUUGGAUUUAUUGAAGACUAACUACUGCGAAAGCAUUUGCCAAGGAUGUUUUCAUUAAUCAAGAACGAAAGUUAGGGGAUCGAAGACGAUCAGAUACCGU